UACGGAGGGUGCAAGCGUUAUCCGGAUUCACUGGGUUUAAAGGGUGCGUAGGCGGGUAGGUAAGUCAGUGGUGAAAUCUUCGAGCUUAACUCGGAAACUGCCUUUGAUACUAUCUAUCUUGAAUAUUGUGGAGGUAAGCGGAAUAUGUCAUGUAGCGGUGAAAAUGCUUAGAUAUGACAUAGAACACCUAUUGCGAAAGGCAGCUUACUACGCAUAUAUUUGACGCUGAGGCACGAAAGCGUGGGGGAUCAAAACAGG
rnacentral:rRNA from 1 species